UCUCCGUAGGUGAACCUGCGGAGGGAUCAUUACAGAGUUCAUGCCCUUCCGGGUAGAUCUCCCACCCUGUGUUAUCGUCACCUUUGUUGCUUUGGCGGGCCGCCCAGGCCUAGGCCCGGCUACCGGCUCCGGCUGGUGCGCGCCCGCCAGAGGACCCUAAACUCUUGAAUAUCAGUGUCGUCUGAGUACUAUGUAAUAGUUAAAACUUUCAACAACGGAUCUCUUGGUUCUG
rnacentral:misc_RNA from 1 species